rnacentral:lncRNA from 1 species
AAAAAACCUUUUAACUUUAUUGCAAAUAUUUUAAUCAAAAGCAAGAAAAAUAAAUAUGAGUUAGCCAUCAAAAAACCUUUUAACUUUUUUGCAAAUAUUUUAAUGGUCUCUCUAUCUCUAUCAUCUUAUAACUUUGUAGUAACCCUGAUAGUCCAUCCGAAUUAGGAUUCACAGUAGGUUCAGACAAUACUGCAUUACUACUCUUGCAUAAAGCAGUUGUCUAGUUAACCUUCUGUUACCCCUCCCACGUGCAAAACUCCAUGAUUGCUAGAAAAACAACAAACAAUAGUAACAAGUUAAGCCUUAUUCCAAUAGCUUGGUUAACUAAGAACCAUGUUUGAUCUACCUAUUUCUUAAGCAUGCAAUGAUGAAGAGGUCAACAUCAGUUCAUAUUGGAAAUAAGUUUGUUUCCAUGGUCAUUGAAAAG